UGCCGGAUGGGUACACAGCUGUUGCAGACACAUUACAAUCAGCUACUUUCCAAACUAGCUGUCAGACUUGUCUUAACUGCUUUCAGUGACAUUUUUAGCACAGUUUAACCAUGGUUGAAUCGUUGAGACAUGAAUCAAUACUUUUUUGGUCUAGCUUUUAAAGCAUUGUUGGGCAGUAAAUCUUUGUUAUCAGUACCAGAUAACAAGUUUUAAAAUCUUAGAUGUCUUGGAUUGCUUAAUAAAUAAUUUAGAGAUAACAUGUCAGGAAGUAUUUCAAUAGAGAAAUUGUAUAAUAGUUUUGGAAUGUAUAAAUUUGUGCAUGAUAGGAUAAUUUUUAUGGCAAUUUAGGAUACUUUGAUUUGUCUUGUAGAAGAUGGGAUAUAUGGCUAUUUUGGUUUUUUUGAACACCCCUACCUAUUGAUGCCUAGAAAAAUCUCAGCUUUUUGUUUUCCAAUUAUCAGUGAACUUAUUACGGGUCAACCUGCGCAGAGGCCGCCUCGUGGGGUUCAUACCGUGUGCCCACUUGCUCUUGUUCUCUCACCAACUAGGGAGAUAUCAAUGCAGAUACAUGAAGAGGCUAAGAAGGUUGCAUGCCAGACCGGGGUGAGGGUGGUUGUUGCUUAUGGCAGAGCUCCAGUUAACCAGCAGCUACGAGAGCUUUAGAGAGGGGUGGACAUUCUUGUUUCAACUCUAGGAAGACUAGUAGAUUUGCUGGAAAGAGCUAGUUUCACUGCAGAAGAAUAGGUAUCUGGUCUUAGAUGAGGCAACUAGGAUGUUGGACAUGAGUUUUGAACCCCAGAUUAGGAAGAUUGUAGAACAAAUAGAUAUGCCCCCAGCAGGUGAAGAUUUAAAGCUAUUUUGUUGUUGAAGGUGGAAUCUUGGCAAUUUAGUGGACUCAAUUUCUUAAUGUUUUUUGAGAUUGUUAUGUAUGACAUAAUAUGUCUAUUUUAAAUGUUAGUAAGAUAAUGUUUUCCACUACUAAGUAAAAAUAUUCUGCACUGCACUAUGGUGAACAUUGUUUAACUAUUGGUUUAUCGUUGUAAGACUUUUAUGUAAAUUUUUAAUAUAUACGAUGAACACCUUUUAUUUUA